rnacentral:misc_RNA from 1 species
AAAUGCGAUAAGUAAUGUGAAUUGCAGAAUUCAGUGAAUCAUCGCAUCUUUGAACGCACCUUGCGCUCCUUGGUAUUCCUUGGAGCAUGCCUGUUUGAGUAUCAUGAAAUCUUCAAAGUAAAUCUUUUGUUAACUCAAUUGGUUUCUACUUUGGUAUUGGAGGUCUUUGCAGCUUCACACCUGCUCCUCUUUGUUCAUUAGCUGGAUCUCAGUGUUAUGCUUGGUUCCACUCGGCGUGAUAAGUUAUCUAUCGCUGAGGACACUGUAAAAGGUGGCCAAGGUAAAUGCAGAUGAACCGCUUCUAAUAGUCCAUUGACUUGGACAAUACUUUUAUGAUCUGAUCUCAAAUCAGGUAGGACUACCCGCUGAACUUAAGC